CGCCGGUAAGCGUAUGAUGGCUUCAGCGGUUGAUCUUGAAGUCCCUAUGGGCGGCCUUGCCAAGCCAUGACCCCGGUGCUUUAAGCGCUUCUGCUAAAUUUAUUAUCUUUUUGUUUUUAUGAGGUAUUAGCAGUGAUUACAGGCACCGUUAAAUGGUUUAACGAGAGCAAGGGUUUCGGCUUUAUUACGCCUGAUGAUGGCGGUAAGGAUGUUUUCGUUCAUUUUUCUGCGAUUGAAGGCAGCGGCUUUAAGACGCUGGCUGAAGGGCAGAAGGUUUCUUUUGAAACCCAGAAUGGACCUAAAGGACCUUCCGCUGCCAACGUCAAGGCGGUCUGAUCGCUUGAUAUAUCAAGAUUAAUUAUCCCUGGCGAUCAGAUUGGUAUCGUCAUGAUUCCGGAACCCCGCUCCAUAGCGGGGUUUUUUUU
rfam:Thiorhodospira sibirica ATCC 700588 ctg270, whole genome shotgun sequence.